rnacentral:rRNA from 1 species
GUAAGGAAUAUUGGACAAUGGGGGAAACCCUGAUCCAGCCAUGCCGCGUGAGUGAAGAAGGCCUUCGGGUAGUAAAACUCUUUCAGAUGUGAAGAUGAUGAUGGUAACAUCAGAAGAAGCUCCGGCUAACUUCGUGCCAGCAGCCGCGGUAAUACGAAGGGAGCGAGCGUUGUUCGGAAUCACUGGGCGUAAAGAGUGCGUAGGCGGUUAUACAAGUCAGGAGUGAAAUCCCAGAGCUUAACUUUGGAAUUGCUUUUGAAACUGUAUAGCUAGAGUCCCGGAGGGGUUAAUGGAAUUCCGAGUGUAGAGGUGAAAUUCGCAGAUAUUCGGAGGAACACCAGUGGCGAAGGCGAUUAACUGGACGGGCACUGACGCUGAGGCACGAAAGCGUGGGGAUCAAACAGGAUUAGAAACCCCGGUAGUCC